rnacentral:rRNA from 1 species
AACGUAGGUGGCGAGCGUUAUCCGGAUUUACUGGGCGUAAAGGGUGUGCAGGCGGGUCAUUAAGUGGUGUAUGAAAUCGCCCGGCUCAACCGGGCGAGGUUAUGCCAGACUGGUGGUCUAGAGAGCGAGAGAGGGACGUGGAAUUCCGGGUGUAGUGGUGAAAUGCGUAGAUAUCGAGAGGAACACCUGCGGCGAAGGCGGGUUGCUGGGCCGACACUGACGCUGAUGCGCGAAAGCCAGGGGAGCGAACGGG